rnacentral:lncRNA from 1 species
AGAUGUCUUUUCUGCUGCUGAGCAGACUGGCAGGCAGCCGGUGAUGGGGCCCUACUUGGAAGACCCCCUCCUCUGCUGGCUCCUGCGAUUCUUCAGCCUCCUCGUCAGUGUCUACAGCAGUGGGACCAAUGGUGGAGGCCCUGCUCCUGGAGUUCAGGAUUCUGGAGCUCCUGAUCCUCUGCAGGGGAUCCGAGGAGGUUCUGUGCUGUUUCCUUUGCCCAAGAAGCAAGACGCUGAGCUGGAGGAGGUCACGUGGGGCUUUGGUCCUGGGUCAGAGUACAGAGUCCUGCUGCGAGUCCGUCCUGGGAAAGCUCCCACCUGGGUCAGCCUCCAGGACAGGUACCAGCAGAGGGUCCAUGUGCCCAACAUGACGUCCCUGAAGAUUGAGAACCUGACCCCUGAGGACAGUGGGCUGUACCGGGCUCGAGUUAGCUUCACUGGAGGAGUAGAACUUACCAAGGUUUUCCACCUCACUGUCUAUGAGCCAGUGACCAUUCCCCAGAUCCUGGUCCACUCAUCAUCCAUCACACCAGGCUGGUGCAAUGUUACCAUGGAGUGCAGGACCUCAGGGGACGCAGAGAACCUGAAGGUGACCUGGGAGGGCAAGGGCCUCCCCAGGGAGCUGGAGGAGAGAGUGACAUCAGGACCAACCCCCAAUUCGUGGACCCUGGCUGUGCACCUGCCCCAGAGCCAGCCCUACACCAACAUCACCUGUGUGGUCAGCAACGAAGUGGACCAGAAAACUGCCACCUUCAACCUUGGGGAAGUCUGUGUCCAUGGAUUGCAGGAGGAGUCUAAGGACCGUGACGGUGGCAUCCAAUAUGUAGAGCUGAGCCAGCAGGAUUCUCGAGAGAGCACGGACCAGGGUGAUGGUGAACGACGUCUAAAUGAAAAGGAGGCUCUUAAUACUGUCUACAGUGAGGUCCAUAAGCCAGCAAGUGUGCCCAUGAAGAUAAUUUAAUUGGAGGAGGCAGAAGAAUUGACACUCCUAGGACACCUCCAUUCUGAAUUUGAUCCCUGCAGAUACCUGCCCCUACGAGUGCUGGUCCAGCACCAGCUGCCUCUGGUCUGCAUUCCUCUGACCUUUGUGCCCUCAACUCCCUGGGCUCACGUGGCCCUGUCACUUCCUCUGUCAACUCUAUAUGCUGCCUUCCACUCAGGUUCCUCACUCCAGAAGGACUAGUGCUCUUUCUCCGUCAUUGACUCUGCUCCUGAUUCCUCUCCUUCUGAAGUUUCCCUAGGAGGAUCUCCCUACCUGUGCAUGUGUUCAUCCCCACAGCCUCUGCGCUGUGGCUGGUGUGUAUCUUUCUGAGAACAGGAGCCUGGGCGUGGGGACUGUGUGGAGGUUUCGACUGCACCAUAGAGGGAGUUAGGAACUUGGAGCUGGGUGUUGAGCUGAGUGUCCAUG